UACGUAGGGUGCAAGCGUUGUCCGGAAUUAUUGGGCGUAAAGAGCUCGUAGGCGGUCUGUCGCGUCGGAUGUGAAAAUCCAGGGCUCAACCCUGGACCUGCAUUCGAUACGGGCAGACUAGAGUUCGGCAGGGGAGACUGGAAUUCCUGGUGUAGCGGUGAAAUGCGCAGAUAUCAGGAGGAACACCAGUGGCGAAGGCGGGUCUCUGGGCCGAUACUGACGCUGAGGAGCGAAAGCGUGGGGAGCGAUCCGG
rnacentral:rRNA from 1 species